rnacentral:rRNA from 1 species
UACGUAGGGUGCGAGCGUUAAUCGGAAUCACUGGGCGUAAAGCGUGCGCAGGCUGUUUUGUAAGUCAGAUGUGAAAUCCCCGAGCUCAACUUGGGAACUGCGUUUGAAACUACAAGACUAGAAUAGGUCAGAGGGGGGUAGAAUUCCACGUGUAGCAGUGAAAUGCGUAGAGAUGUGGAGGAAUAUCAAUGGCGAAGGCAGCCCCCUGGGAUCAUAUUGACGCUCAUGCACGAAAGCGUGGGGAGCAAACAGGAUUAGAUACCCUGGUAGUCCACGCCCUAAACGAUGUCUACUAGUUGUUGGUGGAGUAAAAUCCAUGAGUAACGCAGCUAACGCGUGAAGUAGACCGCCUGGGGAGUACGGUCGCAAGGUUGAA